rnacentral:rRNA from 1 species
GAAUUCGCCCUUAGAGUUUGAUCCUGGCUCAGGAUGAACGCUGGCGGCGUGCUUAACACAUGCAAGUCGAGCGAGAAAAGUUCUUCGGAGCUUUUCUAGCGGCGGACGGGUGAGUAACACGUGGGCAACCUGCCUCAUAGAGGGGAAUAGCCUCCCGAAAGGGAGAUUAAUACCGCAUAACAUUAUUGAAAGGCAUCUUUUAAUAAUCAAAGGAGUAAUCCGCUAUGAGAUGGGCCCGCGGCGCAUUAGCUAGUUGGUGAGGUAACGGCUCACCAAGGCGACGAUGCGUAGCCGACCUGAGAGGGUGAUCGGCCACAUUGGAACUGAGACACGGUCCAGACUCCUACGGGAGGCAGCAGUGGGGAAUAUUGCACAAUGGGGGAAACCCUGAUGCAGCAACGCCGCGUGAGUGAUGAAGGUCUUCGGAUUGUAAAGCUCUGUCUUUAGGGACGAUAAUGACGGUACCUAAGGAGGAAGCCACGGCUAACUACGUGCCAGCAGCCGCGGUAAUACGUAGGUGGCAAGCGUUAUCCGGAUUUACUGGGCGUAAAGGGAGCGUAGGCGGAUACUUAAGUGGGAUGUGAAAUACCCGAGCUUAACUUGGGAGCUGCAUUCCAAACUGGGUAUCUAGAGUGCAGGAGAGGAGAAUGGAAUUCCUAGUGUAGCGGUGAAAUGCGUAGAGAUUAGGAAGAACACCAGUGGCGAAGGCGAUUCUCUGGACUGUAACUGACGCUGAGGCUCGAAAGCGUGGGGAGCAAACAGGAUUAGAUACUCUGGUAGUCCACGCCGUAAACGAUGAAU